UACGUAGGGGGCUAGCGUUGUCCGGAAUCAUUGGGCGUAAAGAGCGUGUAGGCGGUCCGGUAAGUCCGCUGUGAAAGUCGGGGGCUCAACCCUCGAAUGCCGGUGGAUACUGUCGGGCUAGAGUGCGGAAGAGGCGACUGGAAUUCCUGGUGUAGCGGUGAAAUGCGCAGAUAUCAGGAGGAACACCGGUGGCGAAGGCGGGUCUCUGGGCCGAUACUGACGCUGAGGAGCGAAAGCGUGGGGAGCGAACAGG
rnacentral:rRNA from 1 species